rnacentral:rRNA from 1 species
GCGAGUGCGAUGCAGGCAGCGGUGAUAAGACGGAGGUGGCAGAGUUGACUCGGAAGUAAUGGUCGUAAAGAGAAAGCGGUCGGGUUGGUAAUGCAGAGGCGAAACUACCGGUCCCAGACUGGGAACUGCAUCGGAUACGUGCAAGCUUGAGUGUAGUAGAGGGUGGUAUAAUUCCAGGUGUAGCGGUGAAAUUCGUAGAGAUCUGGAUGAAUACCGGUGGCGAAGGCGGCCCCCUGGACGAAGACUGACGCUCAGGUGCGAAAGCGUUGGGAGCAAACAGGAUUAGAUACCCGGGUAGUC